rnacentral:rRNA from 1 species
GUCCACGCCGUAAACGAUGAGAACUAGACGUCGGAGGGGUCUGCUCUUCGGUGUCGUAGCUAACGCGCUAAGUUCUCCGCCUGGGGAGUACGGCCGCAAGGUUGAAACUCAAAGGAAUUGACGGGGGCCCGCACAAGCGGUGGAGCAUGUGGUUUAAUUCGAUGCAACGCGAAGAACCUUACCUGGUCUUGACAUCCUAGGAAUCCUGCAGAGAUGCGGGAGUGCCUUCGGGAACCUGGAGACAGGUGCUGCAUGGCUGUCGU